ACGCCGACGACGCUGCCAAUGGCCGACUGGGUCGGGAAGGUCUCUGCCGGCCGUAAGGCCCGGGGUCCUCGCGCCUCCCGAAACGUCGCAGGUACUAAGCAGACAAGUGCCUUGAAACAAGAAGAUGCUUCUAAAAGGAAAGCCGAACUAGAAGCAGUUGUCAGAAAGAAGAUUGAGUUUGAGAGAAAAGCUCUACGUAUUGUUGAACAGCUUUUAGAAGAGAAUAUUACAGAAGAAUUCCUAAGGGAGUGUGGGAAGUUCAUCACACCUGCUCAUUAUAGUGAUGUCGUGGAUGAGCGUUCUAUUAUCAAACUCUGUGGCUAUCCCUUAUGUCGCAAGAAGCUAGGAAUUGUACCAAAACAGAAAUAUAAAAUUUCUACCAAAACCAAUAAAGUCUAUGAUAUUACUGAAAGAAAGUGUUUUUGCAGCAAUUUUUGUUAUAAAGCAUCGAAAUUUUUCGAAGCACAAAUUCCUAAAACUCCAGUGUGGGUUCGAGAAGAAGAAAGAUGUCCUGAUUUUCAGCUGCUACAGGAAGGACAAAGUGGUCAUUCUGGAGAAGAAAUACAGUUAUGCAGUAAGGCCAUUAAAACAUCAGAUGUUGACAGUCCUGGCCAUUUUGAGAAGCAUGAUGAAUCUAGUUCUUCUGGCACUCAUAAUGAUAGUAGCAGUGAUAAUGAGCAAGACUUUGUUUCCUCCAUUCUACAAGGAAACAGACCAAGUGCAACGGGUAUAAGGCCACAGCUGCACAAAAAAAGCAUAAUGAAAAAGAAAGCUGGUCAAAAGGUUGACUCCAAACAUGAAAGCAAAGAACAGACAGUAAUAGAUGUCACUGAGCAGUUAGGCAAUUGCAGAUUAGACAGUGAGGAGAAAGCUGCUGCUUGUGAACUUCCUUUACAGAAUGUAUGUACUCAGAUUUCUUCAGAUAGGUCUCUGCAAGAAAAAUUAGAAGCUUCAAAAAUUUCUGAAAAUAAAUACAGUAGUUCAAAAAUAACUCUUGUAGGCAUAAGUAAGAAAAGUGCUGAGCAUUUUAAGAGGAAAUUUGCCAAAUCGAACCAAGUUUCUAGGUCAGCUUCUAGUUCAGUGCAGGUGUGCCCUGAAGUUGCAAAGGCAAACUUACUUAAAGCCCUGAAGGAGACUUUGAUUGAGUGGAAGACAGAAGAAACUUUGAGGUUUUUGUAUGGCCAGAAUUAUGCUUCUGUAUGUCUGAAACCCUCUUCAGCCCCUCUGGUUAAGGAAGAAGAACUUGAUGAAGAUGAUGUGAACUGUGACCCAGACAGUCAUUCCCCUGCCUUGCAGGAAUCUCAGAACAGCUUGGAUGAGUCUUUACCGUUUAGAGCCUCAGAUACAGCCAUUAAACCACUGCCAAGUUAUGAGAACUUGAAAAAAGAAACUGAAACAUUAAAUCUAAGGAUCAGGGAGUUUUAUAGAGGACGAUAUGUUUUGAAUGAAGAAACCACCAAAUCACAAGACUCGGAAGAGCAUGAUCCCACCUUUCCACUGAUAGAUUCAAGUUCUCAGAACCAGAUUAGAAAACGCAUCGUACUUGAAAAAUUGAGUAAAAUAUUGCCUGGACUUAUGGGGCCUCUUCAGAUUACAUUAGGAGAUGUUCACACACAACUUAAAAAUCUUGUCCGAACUUUCAGAUUAACAAACAGAAAUAUUAUACAUAAACCUGCAGAGUGGACCUUAAUUGCUUUGGUGUUGCUGUCAUUACUGACCUCAAUUCUCGGCAUUCAGAAGCAUUCUCAGGAAAAUGUAAUGUUUACACAGUUUUUGACCACCCUGCUUGAAGAAUUACACUUAAAGAAUGAAGACCUUGAAAGUUUAACCAUCAUAUUUAGAACCAGCUGUUAACCACAGUGGCUACUGUCCUAUAACAGAACUUUAUAGGUUCUGUUUCUUGCAAUCCAGGAAACUCGUUGCUAUCAGCUUCAUACUCAAAUCUAGACCAUCCCAUCCUGCAUGUCCCAUCUGAUGUUUCUUCCCAGCAAGUAGCAGUUUACUUCAACCAAACUGCUGCAGUGAUCUUUGAGAAUAUCCUCAUCCUACUUCCCUCCUCAGCCCAGCCAAUACCUUAGUCAUCUCAUGUGCAGAUAAACAGGUAAUCCGUGAAGACCAAAUAGAUGAACUUACAUUGACCAUUUCUGGAAUUCUAGCCACAAUAAUUGUACAGUUAGAGCUACUUAUCAGUCACCACCGGACAGAGUGACUUCACCAGAUAGAGGAGAACCAUUAUUCCAACAAGGAUAAGCAAGUCCUUGCAUCCUAGAUAGAAGAUAUAGUAUUUCUACUUAUUUGAAAAUGAAAGCUGAAAUCUUAAGUUGAAACUUCAAGAAAAUAUAAUGACCUGUUUCUUCUGGAUUAUUACAGCCAUCAUAUCAGUUGACCAGAAAAUUGAGAAAAGUCCCAUUUUAGCCUCAUAGUCCAACUCUGGAUUCUAAAGAACAGUGAAGAAUUAGGUCAAUAAAUAAUACAAUUUAGGGCCUCCCUGGUGGUGCUGUGGUUAAGAAUCCACCUGCCAAUGCAGGGGGCACAGGUUCGAGCCCUGGCCCAGGAGAUCCCACACGGAGCAACUAAGAUCCUGCGGAGCAACUAAGCCCGUGCACCACAACUACUGUGCCUGUGCGCUAGAGCCCGCAUGCCACAACUACUGAAGCCCGAGUGCCUAGAGCCUGUGCUCCACAACAAGAGAAGCCACCGCAGUAAGCCCAUGCACCACAAAGAAGAGUAGCCCCUGCUCACCACAACUAGACAAAGCCCGCAGGCAGCAAUGAAGACCCAACACAGCCAAAAAUAAAUAAUUUAUAAAAAUAAAUACAAUUUAAGAUGAAA